rnacentral:rRNA from 1 species
AUUGAACGCUGGCGGCAGGCCUAACACAUGCAAGUCGAGCGAGCGGCGGACGGGUGAGUAAUGUAUGGGGACUGCCCGAUAGAGGGGGAUAACUACUGGAAACGGUGGCUAAUAACGCACACUAUCGGAUAACCCAUAUGGGAUUAGCUAGUAGGUGGGGUAAAAGCUCACCUAGGCGACGAUCCCUAGCUGGUCUGAGAGGAUGAUCAGCCACACUGGGACUGAGACACUGCCCAGAGUCCUACGGAGGCAGCAGUGGGGAAUAUUGCACAAUUGGCGAAAGUCUGAUGCAUCCAUGCCGCGUGUAUGAAGAAGGCCUUAGGGUUGUAAAGUACUUUCAGCGGGGAGGCGUUACCCGCAGAAGAAGCACCGGCUAACUCCGUGCCAGCAGCCGCGGUAAUUC